AGAGUUUGAUCCUGGCUCAGGACGAACGCUGGCGGCGUGCUUAACACAUGCAAGUCGAACGGUGACGAGGAGCUUGCUCCUCCGAUCAGUGGCGAACGGGUGAGUAACACGUGAGCAACCUGCCCCUCACUCUGGGAUAACAGUUGGAAACAGCUGCUAAUACCGGAUACGACACAGACAGGCAUCUGUACUGUGUGGAAAGUUUUUCGGUGAGGGAUGGGCUCGCGGCCUAUCAGUUUGUUGGUGGGGUAAUGGCCUACCAAGACGACGACGGGUAGCCGGCCUGAGAGGGCGACCGGCCACACUGGGACUGAGACACGGCCCAGACUCCUACGGGAGGCAGCAGUGGGGAAUAUUGCGCAAUGGGCGAAAGCCUGACGCAGCAACGCCGCGUGCGGGAUGACGGCCUUCGUGGUUGUAAACCGCUUUCAGCAGGGACGAAAAUGACGGUACCUGCAGAAGAAGCCCCGGCUAACUACGUGCCAGCAGCCGCGGUAAU
rnacentral:rRNA from 1 species